UGAGGAAUAUUGGUCAAUGGGCGGGAGCCUGAACCAGCCAAGUAGCGUGAAGGAUGACGGCCCUACGGGUUGUAAACUUCUUUUAUAAGGGAAUAAAGUUCGCCACGUGUGGUGUUUUGUAUGUACCUUAUGAAUAAGCAUCGGCUAAUUCCGUGCCAGCAGCCGCGGUAAUACGGAAGAUGCGAGCGUUAUCCGGAUUUAUUGGGUUUAAAGGGAGCGUAGGCGGGCUUUUAAGUCAGCGGUCAAAUGCCACGGCUCAACCGUGGCCAGCCGUUGAAACUGCAAGCCUUGAGUCUGCACAGGGCACAUGGAAUUCGUGGUGUAGCGGUGAAAUGCUUAGAUAUCACGAAGAACUCCGAUCGCGAAGGCAUUGUGCCGGGGCAGCACUGACGCUGAGGCUCGAAAGUGCGGGUAUCAAACAGGAUUAGAUACCCUGGUAGUCCGCACGGUAAACGAUGAAUGCUCGCUAUGGGCGAUACAAUGUCCGUGGCCAAGCGAAAGCGUUAAGCAUUCCACCUGGGGAGUACGCCGGCAACGGUGAAACUCAAAGGAAUUGACGGGGGCCCGCACAAGCGGAGGAACAUGUGGUUUAAUUCGAUGAUACGCGAGGAACCUUACCCGGGCUUGAAUUGCAGGUGCAUGAGUCGGAGACGGCUCUUUCCUUCGGGACUCCUGUGAAGGUGCUGCAUGGUUGUCGUCAGCUCGUGCCGUGAGGUGUCGGCUUAAGUGCCAUAACGAGCGCAACCCUUCUCCCCAGUUGCCAUCGGGUAAUGCCGGGCCCUCUGGGGACACUGCCAUCGUAAGAUGCGAGGAAGGUGGGGAUGACGUCAAAUCAGCACGGCCCUUACGUCCGGGGCUACACACGUGUUACAAUGGGGGGUACAGAGGGCCGCUGUCCGGUGACGGUCGGCCAAUCCCUAAAACUCCUCUCAGUUCGGACUGGAGUCUGCAACCCGACUCCACGAAGCUGGAUUCGCUAGUAAUCGCGCAUCAGAAUGUCGCGGUGAAUACGUUCCC
rnacentral:rRNA from 1 species